ACACACACACACACACACACACACACACACACACACACACACCUCCUGCAUGUAGUCCCCUAUGGCUGCUGUCUCUAAGCAGUAGAUCCUAAAGGGGACGUUCUGGGAUGCAGUGUUUCAAAAUGACUCCUAUCCACUGCAUGUUUGAGUCUUACUCACUGGUCCGUCUCUAUUGGCCACACGGUCUUCUGCGUCCCUAUUGGCCAAAUGGUCUUCUUCUUCUGUGUCCCUAUUGGCCACCUGGUCUUCUUCUUCUGCGUCUCUAUUGGUCAGAUUUGUCUCUUUUCCGAGGUCCCUGUCUGUUGGUGGCGUUAAGAUAAACCAGUGAGAUUGUCCAUGCGUUUCUCUGAGGUAUGUUUUUAAAAGUGGCCUUUAAAAAAAAAAAAAACGAGAUCCGUUAAGUCAUUUUUGUUGUUCCUUGUGUUACUAGUCCAAAGAUCCCAGUUUAUGAGAAUGUAGAUUAAAACAGUUGGCAGUACUUUGGUAGCUGGGCAGCUGGUGUUCAGUACACAUGUAGUAGGUGUUUAGCAAACAAAAUGGCUGCCAUCUAUAAGAAAGAGACAUGUCAAUCAAACAUGUGACGUAAGGGCUGAGGCAGUUGUAUGACAUGACAUGACAUGACUCCUUAUGAACGGGAUUCCAAAUCUUGUGUUUGUUUGUAGCUCACACACACACAGUUGGUCUUUGUCAUGCUUUUGUGAAAUAUGUAGUUUUAGCUUUAUGUUUGUAUUGUUAUGAGAUUGAGUUUGUUCGCUUUUUUUCCUUUUUGUAGGCGGGCCGUAGGCUUAGGGUUUAGUGCAGGUGGACUGGGGCUGGCUCCCUAUUGGUUGUUUGGCUAUGCACUGGCUCCCUAUUGGUUGUUUGGCUAUGCAAUGGCUCCCUAUUGGUUGGUUCGCUAUGCACCUAAUCCCAGCACAACUUUUCCCAUGAACACAUAGGCUACGUGAACCUUCCAAAGCACAACGUUUGUUGCCGUAGCAACUUCCAAACUGCCCUCACUACACCCACCCACCCCCCUGCACACACACACACAACACACACACACACACACACACACACACACACACUCACACACACAUCAGCAAGGGUGUGGCAUCAUUGUUUGGCAGCUCUCCACAUGUCCAUGUGUGUGUGUUGUGUGUGUGUGUGUGUGUUGUGUCUGGACUGUUGUGACCCGUUCUGUCAUAGUUCAGUGACUAGGGUGGACACAUCUGUGUGUGUGUGUGUGUGUGUGUGUGUGUGUUGUGUGUGGGGUGUCGUGACCCGUUCUGUCAUAGUUCAGUGACUAGUGUUGACACAAACGUGUGGAAAACAGAAAUUGUUUAGUUGUUCAAAUUGUGGUUGUGGAACAAAAAUAAGAAUAUCUAUGGACAUGUCGUGCCAAGUAAGUUACAGUGUGCCUGUGUGUGUGUUCGUGUGUGUGUGUGUGUUGUGAGUUUUACUAAGUGUGUAUGUCUCUUUUUUUAAAGUGUGAUAUUUUAGCCUUAGGUGUGCCCUGGUACAUGACUCCCUGGUGACCUCUGGUAACCCCUAGCAACCCCUUGGGUGUCAUGGCAGGCAAGCCACCAUGACCUUGUGUGUGUCGAAAAUAAUUUGACCUCUCCCUUUAAUCAACGACAUCCAAAAAACAACGCAACUUGCCCAUCAUAGAGAUGAGCAUGACCUGAAUGUACUUCUCCUAUGCGUGCAUGUAUGUAUGUGUGUGUGUGUGUCUUUAUGCUUUCCUGCUGCGUCAGAAUGCAUAGGCCUCACGCAUACAUACACACAGAUGUGACCUUUAAAAAACGACGACACUCUCUGGUGUCAGUGAUGGCUUGACCCGGGGUCGUCUCCAGGACAACCCUGUCUCUCCCAGGUGGCACAUGAGUAUUAUUUCAGGGGCAAACGAGACAGAGCAAAGAAAAAGAACAAAACAAAGGUAGUAUUAAUGUCCACAUGGGUCAAUAUGAGCACAAAGGUAGUAUUAAUGUCCACAUGGGGUCAAUAUGAGCUAUCAGUGUCGGGAAGUGUCGGGUGAAUUUAGAAUGACAGGCACUGCAGUAUUGCUGUAUAGAGUCUUUCUCUCUCCCUCUCUCUCUCUCUCUCUCUCUGUCUCUCUCUCUCUCUCUCUCUCUCUCUCUCUCCCUCCCUUUACCCUUUCUCUGUCACUUAAUGUCACGUAAUGAUGUAGUUCAAAGACACUUGGAGCUCACCAGACACUUAGCAACUCGGCUCAUUCUUUCUGUCUCUCUCUCUCUCUCUCUUUUCUCUUUCUUCCUUUCUUUCUUUCGUCCAGAAGACCCCCUCAACAGGAGGCCGGACAUUGAUGGUGGGUUUCCGUUAUCCAGUUUUAAAAAGCCACAAAUGCAUUGUAGUCAAGUGGAAGAGUGGUGGUGGGCCCCCCCCCCCCGCCCUAAUGGAGGCGCUGUUAGGGUUAUUAACUGCUUCAGUCAGCGGCGUUAAUCAGCGGGCCGGUUAUUAACUGCUUCAGUCAGCGCGUUAAUCAGCGGGCCGGUUAUUAACUGCUUCACAGUCAGAGGUGUUAAUCAGCGGGCCGGUUAUUAACUGCUUCAGUCAGCGGCGUUAAUCAGCGGGCCGGUUAUUAACUGCUUCAGUCAGCGGCGUUAAUCAGCGGGCCGGUUAUUAACUGCUUCAGUCAGCGGCGUUAAUCAGCGGGCCGGUUGUUCUUCUCCCGCUAGGAAAAGAGCAGGGUGAGAAUGAGAGUGGAGUGAACACAUUACAGCCUACAGCUGCUAUUCAAUUACUCCGUCGCUUUGCCAGGUCUGAGGAUAUAUCGGUAGAAUUGCCUGAUUGUGGUGCCAGUAACUACCACACGCUCACUCUCCCUCUCUCUCUCCCUCUCUCUUUCUAUCUGUCUCUCUCUCUCCCUCUAUCUGUCUCUCUCUCUCACUGUUGUCCAUCUCAGUGUCUAGCACAGGGGGUGGUAGGCUACAUGUAAAUCUGUUCCCAUAAUUCAAAACUAUGGCCAGGUGAUCCAGGAUCUUUGUGCUUAAACAAAAAAAAAAAAAACUUCUUUCAUGCCCCCUGACACUGACGUUAAAACCUUUCGACCUAGGAGUCAAGGUGUCUCACGUCUCAAUAAGGGCGGUGGGUAAUGGGAGUCAAGGUGUGUCUCACGUCUCAAUAAGGGCGGUGGGGAAUGGGAGGAGGAAUCACUGCCAGUACAUUCAGAUGUUACAUUAGCAUCGCCACUCGUGUCGGGGUUGGGCGGCGUUAAGUGUUGAUGUUCAGUGUUUUCAAUGUGACGUGUGAUUGGGUAAUGUGCGAUUAUGUUUUUCCGCUUGAGUAGCAUUCGUUCCAAUCCCAAAUUGAUUAAAAUCCCAUCUUAAACCUGUUUCAUCAUCAGCCUUUUCGCUUCUCUCUCUCUCUCUCUCUCUCUCUGUUUCUCUCUCUCUCUCUCUGUUCAUCUCUCAGUCUUUCAUAAUACUUUGUUUCCUCCACAUGCUUUUCUACAGUUGUUGGUCUUUUUCAUUGUGGCCCUUCCUGAUCUACCCGUACCUGUGUCCGUAUCGGUUGAUGUGAUUUAAUGGUGGGAAAAAGAUUCAUUUUUGGUCCAAGGACGUAAUUGAGAUGUGCACAGACUAGAAAGCACACACACACACACACUGACACACACUCACACACAUACACACACACACACACACACACACACACACACACACGCUGAGCUGUAGUAACCCAGUCUUAUCCACAUCACAUCGCAUUCUGUCCUUGACUGCUCUUAUAUUUGUGGUAGUAUCUAAAGCAUAGAGACCAGACCACAUCAGUUACGUUCUCUAAGCUUUUCAUUACAAGCUUCAAACUCUUUUUAAAGAAAUGUUCCAGAAAAUGCCCUCCAGAAAAGAUUUGAUUGCAGCAUAAGGUAACUAAUGCAAGUUAUUUGAUGUGUGUAAUGUAAAGCUAUAAGAUUGAGCAUCUGAAAAAGACACAUUGCAAGAGACAUUCAACCAAGCUUGUGGACGUGACGAGUAUAAUUUAGUGCACACCGUGGUAUUCUGCCAUUUUUAGCCAUCUGCCUCUUUGCCUAUAAGCAACAAUGCUUGUACAUAUCAUGAAGAAGUGCUUAUAAUAUUACCUGUUUUCUUUUCAAUGUUUUCUUUUUUAUUUAACAUGGUUUUGUAGUACUGCUUUUUUCAUAAUUGAGUUGUCAAUACGAAAAAUGACACGGGGUGGAGACAUGUGGACAUGUUAACUGUUUGUUCUUUUUUUUUAAGAAUAAAAAAAAA
ensembl:lncRNA